AGACUCCUACGGGAGGCAGCARUGGGGAAUAUUGGGCAAUGGGCGAAAGCCUNACGCAGCGACGCCGCGUGAGGGAAGCCGGCCUUCGGGUCGUAAACCUCUGUCUGGAGGAAAGAAACCCAUAGGUGUGAAUAGUCUUAUGGCUGACGGUACCUCCGAAGGAAGCACCGGCUAACUCCGUGCCAGCAGCCGCGGUAAUACGGAGGGUGCAAGCGUUAAUCGGAAUCACUGGGCGUAAAGCGCACGUAGGCUGUCUUGC
rnacentral:rRNA from 1 species